rnacentral:tRNA from 1 species
GCCGACGUAGCUCAACGGUAGAGCACGGCUUUCGUAAAGCCGGGGUUGUGGGUUCGAUUCCCAUCGUCGGCU